rnacentral:rRNA from 1 species
AUACGGAGGGUGCAAGCGUUGUCCGGAUUUAUUGGGUUUAAAGGGUGCGUAGGUGGCGUGUUAAGUCAGUGGUGAAAGCCUGCAGCUCAACUGUAGAGGUGCCAUUGAUACUGACAUGCUUGAGUAUGCAUGAGGUAGGCGGAAUUUGUGGUGUAGCGGUGAAAUGCAUAGAUACCACAAAGAACACCGAUAGCGAAGGCAGCUUACUGGACCAUAACUGACACUGAGGCACGAAAGUGUGGGUAGCGAACAGAAUUAGAUACCCCAGUAGUCC